rnacentral:rRNA from 1 species
ACGCACGCUGGCGGCGUGCUUAACACAUGCAAGUCGAACGGAAAGGCCUUUUCGGAGGUACUCGAGUGGCGAACGGGUGAGUAACACGUGGGUGAUCUGCCCUGCACUCUGGGAUAAGCCUGGGAAACUGGGUCUAAUACCGGAUAGGACCGCACUUUAGUGUGUGUGGUGGAAAGUUUUUUCGGUGUAGGAUGAGCCCGCGGCCUAUCAGCUUGUUGGUGGGGUAAUGGCCUACCAAGGCGGCGACGGGUAGCCGGACUGAGAGGUUGGUCGGCCACAUUGGGACUGAGAUACGGCCCAGACUCCUACGGGAGGCAGCAGUGGGGAAUAUUGCACAAUGGGCGCAAGCCUGAUGCAGCGACGCCGCGUGGGGGAUGACGGCCUUCGGGUUGUAAACUCCUUUCGCCAGGGACGAAGCGUUUUGUGACGGUACCUGGAGAAGAAGCACCGGCUAACUACGUG